AUUAGGAAUCUUGCGCAAUGGACGAAAGUCUGACGCAGCGACGUCGCGUGGAGGAUGAAAUCUUUCGGGAUGUAAACUCCUUUUAUCGGGGAAGAAGAAUGUGACGGUACCCGAUGAAUAAGCCCCGGCUAACUACGUGCCAGCAGCCGCGGUAAUACGUAGGGGGCCAGCGUUGUCCGAAGUUACUGGGCGUAAAGCGCGUGUAGGUGGGUUUUUAAGUGAGGGGUGAAAGGUUCGGGCUUAACCUGGACACUGCCUUUCAUACUGGGAGCCUUGAGUGCGGGAGAGGCGAGUGGAAUUCUUGGUGUAGCGGUGAAAUGCGUAGAUAUCAAGAGGAACACCCAUGGCGAAGGCAGCUCGCUGGCCUGCAACUGACACUGAGACGCGAAAGCGUGGGGAGCAAACAGG
rnacentral:rRNA from 1 species